rnacentral:rRNA from 1 species
AACGAACGCUGGCGGCAGGCUUAACACAUGCAAGUCGAGCGCCCCGCAAGGGGAGCGGCAGACGGGUGAGUAACGCGUGGGAAUCUACCCUUUUCUACGGAAUAACGCAGGGAAACUUGUGCUAAUACCGUAUGAGCCCUUCGGGGGAAAGAUUUUAUCGGGAAAGGAUGAGCCCGCGUUGGAUUAGCUAGUUGGUGGGG